rnacentral:rRNA from 1 species
GAGGUCCCGCCUGCCCAGUGACCACCCCGUUAAACGGCCGCGGUAUUAUAACCGUGCAAAGGUAGCGUAAUCAUUUGUCUUUUAAAUGAAGACCUGUAUGAAUGGCAUCACGAGGGUUUAACUGUCUCCUCCCCCCAGUCAAUGAAAUUGAUCUACCCGUGCAGAAGCGGGUAUAAGAACAUAAGACGAGAAGACCCUGUGGAGCUUUAGGCUAAAGAUUCAAACGCGUAAAGAAGCCCCACACACCGUAAAGGAACAAAAUAGGCUUUAACUCAGCACCCAAAUGAUCACAUGCCUUUGGUUGGGGCGACCACGGGGAAAAACAAAGCCCCCGUAUGGAAUGAAAUAUUUCCUCCUAAACCAAGAGACACACCUCUAAGUAACAGAAAAUCUGACCAAACAUGACCCGGAACAAACAAAUCCGAUCAAUGGACCAAGUUACCCCAGGGAUAACAGCGCAAUCCUUUCCCAGAGUCCUUAUCGACGAAAGGGUUUACGACCUCGAUGUUGGAUCAGGACAUC